AACGAACGCUGGCGGCAGGCUUAACACAUGCAAGUCGAACGCCCCGCAAGGGGAGUGGCAGACGGGUGAGUAACACGUGGGAACGUGCCCUAAGGUUCGGAAUAUUCUCGGGAAACUGAGAGCAAUACCGAAUGGGUCCGAGAGGAGAAAGAUUGAUCGCCUUAGGAUCGGCCCGCGUUGGAUUAGCUAGUUGGUGGGGUAAAAGCCUACCAAGGCGACGAUCCAUAGGUGGUCUGAGAGGACGACCAGCCACACUGGGACUGUGACACGGCCCAGACUCCUACGGGAGGCAGCAGUGGGGAAUCUUGGACAAUGGGCGCAAGCCUGAUCCAGCCAUGCCGCGUGAGUGAUGAAGGCCCUAGGGUUGUAAAACUCUUUCGCCGAGGACGAUGAUGACGGUACUCGGAGAAGAAGCUCCGGCUAACUUCGUGCCAGCGGCCGCCGUAA
rnacentral:rRNA from 1 species